AACGAACGCUGGCGGCAGGCUUAACACAUGCGAGUCGAACGCCCCGCAGGGGGAGUGGCAGACGGGUGAGUAACGCGUGGGAAUCUACCUAGUUCUACGGAACAACAGUUGGAAACGACUGCUAAUACCGUAUACGCCCUACGGGGGAAAGAUUUAUCGGAAUUAGAUGAGCCCGCGUAAGAUUAGCUAGUUGGUGAGGU
rnacentral:rRNA from 1 species